rnacentral:rRNA from 1 species
GACGAACGCUGGCGGCGUGCUUAACACAUGCAAGUCGAACGAUGAAGCCGGAGCUUGCUCCGGUGGAUUAGUGGCGAACGGGUGAGUAACACGUGAGCAAUCUGCCCUUGACUCUGGGAUAACUGCGGGAAACUGUAGCUAAUACCGGAUACGACACCUUGGGGCAUCCCAGGGUGUGGAAAGAAUUUCGGUCAAGGAUGAGGUCGCGGCCUAUCAGCUAGUUGGUGAGGUAAUGGCUCACCAAGGCGACGACGGGUAGCCGGCCUGAGAGGGUGACCGGCCACACUGGAACUGGGACACGGUCCAGACUCCUACGGGAGGCAGCAGUGGGGAAUAUUGCACAAUGGGCGAAAGCCUGAUGCAGCAGCGCCGCGUGAGGGAUGAAGGCCUUCGUGUUGUAAACCUCUUUUAGCAGGGAAGAAGCGAAAGUGACGGUACCUGCAGAAAAAGCACCGGCUAACUACGUGCCAGCAGCCGCCGUAA